AUGUGCUUAGUUGCCUAACACCCAUUGAAAUCAACAGGGAGCCAACUGGGAAGAGGGUAGGUGACAACUCUCACCUGGGAGAGCAAUCUGCAAGAAGCAGCUGAGGGACCUACAGGGAGCAGAAGCCUGCUGGGCACAAAGCUCCAGCUAGAAGGGCUGCAAAAGACAGAGUUUGGAGGGAAGGCUAUAAGGAAGGAGAAACCCUGAUAAAGGACUGGAAAGGGGUUUAACUAAGGAGGAGGUUUAUAUGGCUGCUGAAGCCCACUAUAAACUGAAAUGACUAAUUGAGCUAGGGAAGAUGGCUGAAAGGUUUUGAGUGUUACGUUAUAGUAAUAAGCUACACUCAGAAGCAGAGCAGUAUUGUGGAAACCCCAGGAUUUGUGAUGGAAGAAGAAAAUGAGAUCCUACUGCAGAGGGGAAGCUGGUUAUACGUGAAGAACAUGCUGCUCCUCCUCCUCCCAAAGCACUGCAUGGUGAAAUCACAUUGCUGCUGAUACUAUGACAGAGACCCAGAGGCUGAUGAGGCAGAGUGGUUCAAUGCAAGGGUUCAGUUCAAGCAAAAAUGUCUCAAAGAAUCACAAACAUUUAGGAAAACAUAGCUAUGAACUGGAAGGUCUCUUAGGGAAUUUGCCAUCAUAGAUGGUUAAGAAUAACAUCAAGAGGCAAAUUAUCU